rnacentral:lncRNA from 1 species
CCAACUUUCUAAAAAAACUACAACUAUUUUUACAAAUUUCCAUUACCCAAUGCUGAAAAAUGAGAAUCACGAAGCAAUGAAGAACGGAACACGCGAGAACCAAAAAGUUAAAAACAACACGUAACCAUUUCAAAGACCCAAAAUCCUGCAAGGACAAAAAAAUCCCAUAAAAUCAGUACAUCAGCACUCCCUGCAAAACCCCAAAAUCAGAAAAUUAUAAAAAGAACCCAAAAUCAGUGGCAUGGUCCUCGUUUCUCCAUCAUUCAGUAGCUAAUGACCUAAUGGAAAAGAACCCAAAACAUACAGCUUAAAAUAUGGAAAGUGCUUAUAAAAGCUCAUGAAUAACGUUCAAAGCCUGCAUAGAAAUGGUAUAGCGCAGAUAACAACAAACAAUAAAACUAUGCACAGUAUAACCUAAAUCCGAUAUGUUGCAUUCCCCACACACAGAUUGUUCAAAAUUAAUUUCGUCUCCGUCUUUUUUCAAAUCUGAUAAAAUCCCCAAAACACAAAAAAUAGCAGCUAACUAUUUUUUGAACUCUGUAAACAACGAUAUGCAUCUUAACCCAUUUAACAUAUUCAUAAAAUAACAUCAAACACAUUUAUGCAUGAGAUAAUAUAGAAGUGAAGUCUCACAACUUUCAUAAAAAAUUAUUACUUUGUUAGAGAAAGGCUUGAAAAAAUAUGUAAAUUACUCACCUCUAUUACAAAAAUGUUACAACAGUAGACAAAAAAGGCCAAAAAUACCAAAAGCCGCACCUCCUGAAAUAAAAAACAUAACCAAACGACACAUUCUCAGUAUCUAAACGAUAUCCAGAAAAAAAGAAAUGAACAGACGAAACCCAUGUAAAUAUACAGAACAAACCAAAAAAAAAAAAAAGAACUGAAGCCAGUAAGAAGAUCACAAAUCUGAUAAAGCAAAAGGUAACAUAAUCUAUAUCGAUUUAAUUAUCCAUCCAAAAAGACAUUUGAAUGAAGAACAUUUUUAAGGAUCCAAACAACCAUUAAACUAAACAAUUAAAAGUAAAAACAGCAAAGCAUUCAUUGAAGAAAUAUAUAUAUAUAUAUAUAUUAUAACGUAUUUUGUUCUUUAUACCUAAAAGAAAAACAUUGGCUUUCUUGUAUGCACUGAAGUAUGCAUGUGUCGGAAAUUUACAAUCUAUAGAGACUCAAUCUCAGACUCAAAAAGACAUCUAAAGGAAAAGUAAUAAGAAAAAUAAGUAGUGGUUUUACCUAUACUCCAUGUGUGGACUCCAAUUUUCAAUCACAAUUCAAAAUUCAAGAGGCCUAUAAAUCAACCACAUAGGAAAUGAUCAGUGGAAGAAAAAGAAAAACAACUGAAGCCAAAAUAGCAUCUAACAAAUCAUUUAGAACCAUCACAGAAAACAAUUUUUGCAUAUAAGUAAUUUAAAGGAAUACCAUCAGGUCAUGCAUAUAUACAACGUACCCAAUUAGAUAAGUAGCACAUCAACAAUUGAUGAUCAAAAAGUUAGUCAGCCUCAAUUGCUUGAAUCUAAUUAACUCAAAGAUAAUAAACAGUCCAUUUAAUGCACGGGCUGACUAUCAAUUUUAUAAAGCUAUAAUUCUGUGCAGUUCAAAAACCAAGUGGAAGAAUAGGCAAAAACUAUCUCAUCGCCUGUAAAUGUAAUUAACUAAAUAUUAAACUUCACAGCCACAAAUAAACCUAAAUUCCUCCUAAAACUAUCUCAUUUAAGCUUGAUUUUACUAUAAUCUAUAAGUGUGGUAAAAAAUGGGAGGCCAAACGAUUUGUUAACAAAAAAGGUAGACAUAAAAGUAAAAGGAACAGGGCAGACAUUAGUUGAGGAGAAGCUAAUGUCACCUUGAAUUGACGACAAACAGUUCUUAUCUUCUCGAAUUAACGAAGAUAAGUACCAUUUUUCUUUAAUUCAAGGUAAUAUAAAAAGAAAUUAUACCUGUACAGUGUUCAGAUGUAGCAAUCCUAUGCAAUCGGCCAAAUGAUGUGUGUCCUCUCAAAGAUCUGUAUAUCCAUUACAGACUAAUCUUCAGUCUUGCAGAAAAUGAUAUGUUGACUACAAUUUCCCAUACUACUAAAAAACACAAAUAAUUCUAUCUACAAACCAAAUAAUAUGUGCAACUUUAUGCUACAAUGGUAGAAUAAGAUGGUUGUACAGGACGACACAAAGAUUGAGACUUUUUUUUACUUCUAAAAUUCUACACACUUUCGAGCCCUAAAUUUUCCCGGAAACAAAAAAAAGUGAAAGAAGUCGUACCUGGUUUGAGAGAGUGGGACACCAUCGGCGAGUUUGGUGUAGCAGUGAUGGCGGAGAUCUCUGGUGAGAAAGCUAAUAAGAUGGACAAAAUCAUUGAACAAAAAAAACCUCGCUUUUUAAAAUUAAAGUCAACAAAAAUUUGAACAAAGAAAAGAGAACUCAAACCCGAAACAAAUAAGUCGGAGAACUCGCCAGGAAACCCAAAGUUUCUGCAGGAUUGGCGAUUUCCUGAAAACCAAGCUUUUGUAGGUUUAAAAUUUCUUCCCUAAGGCAACAGAUCCAACAUUCCCAACUUUAGCUAUUUCAGCUACAUAAUAGAAAGAAAAAAAAAUUUAUAUAAUUAACUAAUCUGAUUUAAGAUUAAUCGAAAAGCUUGGAAAUUUCAGCUUUAAAAUUACAUGUCAGGCUGCAAAUCUAAUAAAAAGCGUAGAAUUUUAAAAAUGCUGACCUUAAAUACAGAGGCCUUCGCAGGCUGCAAAGAAGCGUUAGAAACCCGAAAAACCGGAUCUCCUGAAACCAAAAACAAAACCAAAUUAACCAUCAUCACCCAUAAUUCGAAGCCACAAACAUAAUCCCCAAAAUUACAACCCAAAAAUUUAAACAAAAAAACCCAUUUAUAAAUCCAAAUUUACACUCCCAAGUGCAAGACUCUAAGCUCCAACUGUUCUUUCUCAACUUUAGCUAUUUCAGCAACAUAACAUAAAUAAAAAGGUCGUACCCAGUGCACAAGGCUCCCGCUUUACGCAGGGUCUGGGAGAGGUGAAUGUCGGCUAGCCUUACCCCCAUUUUAUGGAGAGGCUGCUCCCAAGUCUCGAACCCGAGACCUACCGCUCAUGGGCGAAGACACUUGCCAUCGCACCAAGUGCGACCUCUAGCAACAUAACAUAAAUAAAAAGAUCGUACCCAGUGCACAAGGCUCCCGCUUUACGCAGGGUCUGGGAGAGGUGAACGUCGGCUAGCCUUACCCCCAUUUUAUGAAGAGGCUGGAACAUAACAUAAAUAAAUAAACAAAAUUAAUUUAACUAUAAUUAACUAAUAUGAUUUAAGAUUAAUCAAAAAACUUGGAAAUCUGCUUGAAUCCAAUCUCAAAAUUGAAAACGAACACUUCACUUUUACAAAAGUUGUACAAAGCAAAAAAAAAAAAACAGACAAAUCAAAGUCUCACAAAGGGCCACAACGACAGCAAAAUUGCAACAGAAAGAGGAAAAAUGUUCAAUCAAACCAUUGGAUAACUCUUCUAAGGCAGCCAAAAAAAAACCCACAAAUUCAAAACCACAAAAAUCCAAUCUAAAACAUCGAUUCACAGACUGAGAUGCACAAAAUGAUAUAUUAACAAAUCCAAAACGAAAUACAAAAAUUAAGAACCAACAAGCAAAAAAAUACUGAUUAUCCCCUGCAUACGUGAGCACACGUUCAAAAAGCCUCUCAAAGGCUGAGAUUCAACUUUCAAACAUAAAGACUUUAAGCCACAAUUGUUCUUUCUUAACUUUAGCUACUUCAGUUACAUAAUCGGAAAAAAAAAAUUAUUUAAUUAUAGUUAACUAAUCUGGGUUAAGAUUAAUAAAAAAGCUUGGAAAUUUCAGAUCUAAAAUCACACCUCAGGCUGCAAGUAGAAUCAAAACCAUGGAAUUUCAAAAUCACUGACCUUAAACACACAGGUCUUCGCAGGCUUCAAAGAAAAGUCACAAACUCGAAAAACCCAAUCUCCUGAAAUCGAAAACAAAACCAAAUUAACCAUCAUCACCUAGAAUCCGAAGCUACAAAACAAAAUUCCCAAAAUCAAAACCAAAAAAUUUGAACAAAAAACUCAUUUAAUAUCCAAAUUUACACUCCCAAGCACAUAACAUUCAAAGCAGACAAUUACCCAAAUCAAAUCGACAGCAGGAGAUGCAAUCUUUUAUGGGCUUCAAAUUUUCUUCAAACCGAGACCAAAUUCGCUAGUUUUCAGCAAGAGAGCGUUGCCGUUUGUAACCCCCGAUGAAAAGAUCCAAACAAAUUUGACUAACAGUAGACAGAGAGAGAGAGAGAUAGAGAGAGAGAGGUGAAAAUUACUCGCUGGUGACGAAGCUAAUGAAUUCGGAGACGCAUUCCUGGACGGUGUUCGACUGAUCGGCACGAGUAGAGACACCAGAUCAGAAAGACAGAAAAAUUAGGGUUUGGGAGAUAAAGAAACUGGGGCAGAGAGAGAGGGAAAGAGAAGCAGAAAAGAGGAUAAUUUUAUGCAUUUUUUUUAGCCGCUUUGAAUUUUUUUUGGCCGACAGGCAUUUGCGUCCGAUUAUUUUUGUCGAAGCCGGUGACACCAAAACCGGCCUCCGGCUUUCGGACCAGGAUUGUCUGCCCCUUCAUUUUCCCUGCCAUGU